rnacentral:tRNA from 1 species
ACUUCAGUGGACUCCGGUGGACGGACCGAUCCUGCAUGACGCGCAGGGGGUCACAGGUUCAAGUCCUGUACGGCCCA